ACUCGUAUAAUUUAAAUCGUUAGAAUAUUGCAUUGAAGCUGCAAAUGUGGUUGUCUUUACCUGCGGGUG
rnacentral:tRNA from 1 species